rfam:Rattus norvegicus chromosome 3, whole genome shotgun sequence.
GGGGAUUUAGCUCAGUGGUAGAGCGCUUGCCUAGCAAGCACAAGGCCCUGGGUUCAGUCCCCAGCUCCCCCC